AUUGAACGCUGGCGGCAGGCUUAACACAUGCAAGUCGAGCGGGGAAGGGUAGCUUGCUACCUAACCUAGCGGCGGACGGGUGAGUAAUGCUUAGGAAUCUGCCAUUUAGUGGGGGACAACAUUCCGAAAGGAAUGCUAAUACCGCACACGUCCUACGGGAGAAAGCAGGGGAUCUUCGGACCUUGCGCUAAAUGAUGAGCCUAAGUCGGAUUAGCUAGUUGGGGGGGUAAAGGCCUACCAAGGCGACGAUCUGUAGCGGGUCUGAGAGGAUGAUCCGCCACACUGGGACUGAGACACGGCCCAGACUCCUACGGGAGGCAGCAGUGGGGAAUAUUGGACAAUGGGCGGAAGCCUGAUCCAGCCAUGCCGCGUGUGUGAAGAAGGCCUUAUGGUUGUAAAGCACUUUAAGCGAGGAGGAGGCUACUUAGAUUAAUACUCUAGGAUAGUGGACGUUACUCGCAGAAUAAGCACCGGCUAACUCUGUGCCAGCCGCCGCAGUAA
rnacentral:rRNA from 1 species